GGGGGGAGCGCAGGAUCCUGGUCUGUGUCCCCUGGCGCCCUGGGAUCUGGGGCCUGCGCCCCUAGAAUUGCUCUCCCGGGGCCCCGCAGCCCCCU
rnacentral:pre_miRNA from 1 species